AAUUGACUAGGUAUCCCCCUUUCCCUUUUCACAGUAAGGGGACAAGAGUGUUUUAGCGACAACAGAGAACAAACAUGGGACAACUACUAACAACCCUGCAACUGAUUUAGAGCUGCCAAGGAAACAUUGUGCCUUUCAUUAAGGCCUGCUUCAUUAGACAGUGAAGGUCUCGCUCACCCAGGGUCCAGAGACCACACUGCCUGGUGCCUGCUACACUGCUGGAACCUCUGAAGCUGAGCCCACCUGUUACCGCUGCUACCAUGAGGACUCGAGCAGAUGCCCCCCGAGGAGGAAAUUACAUCACACGUUUGUUGUGUCCACCCUGGACAGGCAGCAGUGUUCAAGGGUUUAAAGUGAAGCAACCUGGUCCUCCUCGUUUCGAGCCUUGCCUGUCCUGGCUCCGAGCCCGUCUGCCUGACCACCAGUCUGCCUAUCCCCUUGUACUGUUUUGGACUUGGAUCUGGUUUCUGAUCCCUGCCUGGCAUGACCUCGAGACUGCCUAUCUUCUGGUACUGUUUGGACUCUGACCUGGUUUAUGAACUCUCGCCUGUCCCCGACCUGCCUUUGCCUACUCCCUUUGUUAUAAUAAAUAUCGGAGCUCUACCAUCUGCCUCCUGUGUCUGCAUUUGGGUCUCGCCUUGUGCCCUUAUAUUACUGUUCCUAGGCCUACUUUAACAUGUGCAGAACACACACACACAAACACACACUGACUGACUGACACACUGUAACAAUAUAACAAGAUUAGACAGAGAUCCAGAUGAGGAAUAAAGCAGCAGUGGAGACUCAUAAAAAGGAACAGCAGCUAAGAGAGCAGUGAGGCCUGUGCCCCACAGUAGCCAUACUACUGGU